GUGAGUUUCCACGUUCCCAAGCAUAUUUGAGACACAGGUUUGGAAACAAAAAUGACUUCACCAGUUAAAUAUUGUUAGAUCCUAUAGCAUAUCAAAGUUCCACAUCCAAAAGAUGCUUCGGAGGGGAGUUCUGUGACCACAAGCAGCAACGUGAAACCACCCAGAUGCAGAUAAAUUGCCAUUCUCCCUCACUGCACAGAGAAAUUGGGGCCUAAUGGAGUGGUUUGGAUUAGGUAGUCAGCUGAAAUUUCCAAAGCACGUAUUUUCUUACCGUGCUGCUGUGACCCAUCUCCAGAUAAUUGGGAUGAUGUUGCUGUGACAGCCUUUUAGUGCAACCUGGAUCCACUCUGGUGAAAGAACCAGGAGAGGACUUCUAGGAACAACCAGUAUCAUGACACUAUUAAAUAUUCA